GGUGGUUUGUCCGCUAGGGGGCGUGUUGCCGUGGAGAGGAGGGCGGGUGCGGGUGCGUUCCCGCAGCAACAGGGAAGAUGGCAGCCCUCACAUCUCUCAGCCAGCUGUCAAGUGGGAACCCUGUAUUUGAGAACUUUUACAGACAGGUGGACCCUGGGAACACAGGGAGAGUGGGACCAACAGAAGCUGCCUUGUUCUUAAAAAAGUCUGGACUCCCUGACGUUACAUUGGGAAAGAUCUGGGAUUUGGCUGAUCCUGAUGGUAAAGGCUAUCUGGACAAACAGGGGUUUUACGUAGCUCUGCGGCUGGUGGCCUGUGCUCAGAGCGGUCAGGAAGUCAGUCUGUCCAGCCUCAACCUCACAGUCCCUCCCCCCAAGUUUAAGGACACCAGCAGUCCGUCACUAAGCAGCACAGCUUCUGCCUCCGGCGGCGAAUUACACUGGGCUGUCAGGCCCGAGGAGAAGAGUAAAUUUGAUGGGAUCUUUGAGAGUUUGGCUCCAGUCAAUGGCCUGCUGUCAGGAGAGAAGGUCAAACCAGUCCUAAUCAACUCCAAGCUACCUCUGGAUGUCCUUGGGAAGGUUUGGGACCUGAGUGACAUAGAUAAAGAUGGCCAUCUUGACAGAGAUGAAUUUGCAGUGGCCAUGCACCUGGUGUACCGGGCCCUGGAGAAGGAGCCUGUUCCUGCACUCCUCCCCUCUUCCCUCGUCCCUCCGUCUAAGAGGAAGAAGAGCCUGGGCUCAGUGGCCGGCUCCGUGCCUGGACUACCCGCAAGCCCUCCGCCACCAAAAGACUCGCUACGCUCCACACCCUCCCACGGCAGCAUGAACUCACUCAACAGCACCGGCAGCCUGUCGCCCAAACACUCACUCAAGUCUGGACAGCAUUCAUUGAACUGGGUGGUCCCAGUGUCGGACCGUGGUCGCUAUGACGACAUCUUCCUGAAGACUGAUGCUGAUCUGGACGGAUUUGUCAGCGGACAUGAAGUAAAGGACAUCUUCAUGCAGUCUGGACUUUCUCAGAACCUCCUAGCCCAUAUAUGGGCUCUGGCAGACACAAGGCAGAUAGGCAAGCUGACCAGGGAGCAGUUUUCUCUCGCCAUGUAUUUCAUCCAGCAGAAAGUGAGCAAGGGCGUCGACCCUCCACAGGCCCUGACUGCUGACAUGAUCCCCCCCUCUGAGAGGAGCACUCCUGUACCAAGUAUGUCAGGAUACAUGACCCCCGUGGGAUCAGAGAUGGCUGCUCUGUCUGAGAUGAGACGGGACAGCUCUAGUUCAGUGGGUUCAGGGGAGUUCACUGGCAUCAAGGAGUUGGAUGACAUCAGCCAGGAGAUAGCCCAGUUACAGAGCACUCUUGCCUUUACCCAGUGGAAUACUCUCAGGGAGAAGUACACUCUGGAGCAAGACAUCAGGGAGACGGAGGAGGCCAUCAGACACAAGAGUGCAGAGGUGCAGGAGAUGCAGAAUGACCUAGACAGAGAGACAGCCAGUCUGCAAGAGCUGGAGGCUCAGAAACAAGACGCCCAGGACCGGCUGGAGGAGAUGGACCAGCAGAAACAUAAAUUAGAGGACAUGCUGAACGAAGUCCGGAUGAAGUGCCAGGAAGAGUCUCAGAUGAUCUCGACCCUCCAGAGUCAGAUCCACUCACAGGAGACCGAUUUGCAGAGCCAGGAGGAAGAGCUGAGCCGGGCAAAGGCCGACCUGGGCCGGCUGCAGCAGGAGGAGAACCAGCUGGAGCAGAGCCUGGCUGCUGGCAAGAUCCAACUGGAGACCAUUAUCAAGUCUCUGAAGGCCACGCAAGACGAGAUCAACCAGGCUCGUAGUAAGUUGUGCCAGAUUCAGGACAGCCAACAGGAAGUGUCUAAAAGCAUCGAGCAGUACAACAGCACCUUGAAUGGAACCCACGGAGGCAGUAUGACCAACCUGGCCGAUAUGAGCGAGGGCUUCAGUGACAGAGAGAAUGGAGGAUUCCCAGCCAUGGUGAGAUCAGCACAGGAGGAUCCAUUCAAAGUGAAGCCGUCUGUGUUCAACAGCCAGCCUCAGGAGCUUCACACUGACCCCUUCCACUCUGAAGACCCCUUCAAAACAGACCCAUUCAAAGGUGACCCUUUCCAAAAUGACCCUUUUUCAAAGCAGCCAUCGACCGCCACAGAUCCUUUUGGAGGAGACCCGUUCAAAGAGACGGAUCCGUUCAAGGCCUCGUCUGAAGAUUUCUUCAAGAAGACAACAAAGAUGGAUCCCUUCUCCACAGCAGACCCCUUCAGUAAAAGUGCCACAUUACCUUCAAAGCAGCAAACCGGUCACUUCACAAGCAGUGACCCGUUCUCUUCAAGCAACCCAAAGCCCAAAGGACCAGGAGACCUGUUCGGCACGUUGGACCCGUUUGGCAGCAGUUCGUUCAACAGCAGCAGUAACAGCUCUGCCGGGUUCGCAGACUUCAGCCUCAUGUCGAAGCCCAGAGACCCCUUCGAAGGCAGGGCCAGCUGGCUGCCGGACUACCAGAAGUCGGCGUUUGUGGACGACCCAUUCAGUAGGAAGAAUGACACGCCAGCUCUGCCACCCAAGAAAAGUGUUCCCCCGAGGCCCAAACCUCCCAGUGGUAAGAGUACACCAGUGAGCACAUCUGGCACGGCUGACCCUUCCAAACCAUGUGACCCUUUCCAGCCAUUUGGCAGCGACGCCGUCGACCCGUUCCAGAGUAAAAAGGGCAUCGGAGACCCGUUCAGCGGCAAAGACCCUUUCGCUCCAUCCUCGGCAUCAAGUAAAGCCCCUAAAGACUCUACCUUGGGUUUCACAGACUUCAGUUCUUUUGGGAACGAGGCUCAGCAGCUGGAGUGGGCGAAGCGAGAGAGUGAGCGAGCAGAGCGCGAGCGGCUGAAGCGACUCAGACAGCAGGAGCAGGAAGAUCUGGAGCUGGCCAUCGCCCUCAGCAAGGCCGAGAUGUCCAACGCAUGACCUGGAACCCCCGACCACACACUCACACACACAUACAGUGCGUAGACUAACAUGACUGACAUCUAAAUAUUCAGACACAAAGCACAUCACUGGACUAACUCAAGUGUUCAUACAAACUCUGGUCCACACACACACACACACACACACACACACACACACACACACACACACACAGGACCUGCACCUCCACUAUUUACAUUCCCCCACACGAAAUGACUCAAUGAAUGGAACAAAAGGAACUUCCAGGCCGCCGACCCUGCAUUUAAAAAAACAAAACUAGCCGAGAACUCGUCACUGCGAAUCUCUCCUGCUGACACGAAGAGACGGAGAGCUGAAGGAUGAAGAAGGAGAGGAGGAGGAAGAGGCAAGAGGGGCCUGAUGGAAACAAACAGAUGCACUGUGUAUAUGCACUAUAGUGGCUGGACAGUGAUGCGAUGAAUCCAUUCACUGGGCUGAGCUGCCUAAUGCUGACGGAACACCUCGACAGUUUGAAUCCCAGUGUGCUGUUUUUCUCCUCCAGCUUCGCUCUACAUGUGAGGAAACGGUUAAUACCGGCGUGCUAACAAAACUGCUGCUAUCGGUAGCAACAAGCAGCUGUGGAGAAAAACAACACAAUUCAAACAGCCAAGGAAAUUCUGUCACUAACCCAGACUCAGCUACGAAGUGAAGAGGUCCAUAUUAGUAGAGGUUUUUCACUUCUGCUGGAGGCUAAAUGUUUCCCUCUGCUCUGUGCUAAACUCUGUACUGGAUGUACAGAAAUGAUUGAUAUUCUCACAACACAGGAGGGGCCUGCUUUUUGCCCUGAGGACCCCAAGCGGGUUAAUCUGACCCCGAGUCAGUGUUUUUCUCCUUCAGGAGAGACACUCCCCUCUCUGGCUCAGUGGAUCCUCCUGUAUGAAAAAGAAAACCAACAUUAGUCGAAUAUGUUUCACUCAAAGCAACUGCGUCCCCCGAUAAAGCUCCAUUACACUGUUUCCCUCUAAUGUGACAAAUACCUGACAAAAGAAAUUAACAGCUUCACAUGUCAGCAUAUCCUUCGAGUGACGGCAACAAAUUGUACAGAUCUAUUUUCUUUGUCCGUGAGUGUGAGAUAGUACUGUGGAGGGUUCCUGCAGUACCCUCUCUCCUCUGUCCAGUGUAUAUAGAUAAACAGAGCCAACUAUGCUGUACUCUGAUCCCGAUGCUGUGAUGUCACGCCACAUUCAUCUAAUGAAAGGCAAGAUGAGGGAAUUCAUUUUUCUAUAUUUGACCUUGUUUUCUUUUUAGAGAUUGAGGAUUUUAACACAGUUUUCAUGAGCUGUUUUUUUUAUUUUUAAAAUGUUUUUGUUUUAAAAGAACAUCCAAAUUAAUAUUGUUUCGUGCUAUAACUUGUAGUUGAGUUAAAGUCACUCCAGUGCUCUACAGACCAGCGAGCACAAGCUGCAGAGUGUUUGGGAAGGUUUGGAACUGGCUGAAAUCAGGUGUCAUUAGGCUGGGAAUGAGAAAUAUUGAGCUAUCUCUGAUGUGUCACAGUUUGAACAUGGACUUAACCACUCACCUUGUUUUUCUAUGAGUUGUCUCUUUUACUUGAAGUGGUGACUGAUGUUUGAGUGAGACAGACUGAAGUCAAUCUCGGACUUUAGAACAGAUUCUGCUGAACUUUUUUUCUGAAGAUGUUCCUUUUCACUCAGAACUCCCUCUGUUGUAGUUUCAAAUGUCAUGUUGUGUUUUAUAAAUGUGAGUAUGUGUUCGCUGUGUGUCCAUUACCAAUCAUAUGCUCCAGUCGGUGUUUCGCCACAUGCAUGCCCUGCAGUCGGAUUCUGCUCAGAGCACACAUGUUCUCCUAAAUGUUACUUUAAGGGAUGACAUAUGGAGUUUUUCAUUAUCAUAACUUUGUAAACAUGCAGCCCAGUCGCACAGCAGUUUGUGAAAUUGUCACAAAAUUUCAUCUAUUUGAUUCGUGUACAUGGACAGUAAUUUCACUUUUUUUUUUUCAUGGUGGUCAGCACAAAAUCAAUUCGUCUGUAAUCCAUGUAAUUGUGAACCGGGAAGUAUGAAGAGCGGCAAACACAGCAUAGGGACGAAUGUCGGAACGGAUGGGUGGGUCAAAAUACACAGGACUUUUGCCGAGGAGACCGGUGUUCAUGUCCCGUGGAAACCAGAAGUCAAAGUUACUGCACUUCCGGAGUUAUUUUAACCCAAACCGCGAUCUUUUC